UACGUAGGGGGCAAGCGUUGUUCGGAAUUACUGGGCGUAAAGGGCGCGUAGGCGGCACAGCAAGUCGGGAGUGAAAGCCCGGGGCUCAACCCCGGAAUGGCUGUCGAAACUGCUGAGCUAGAGUACAGAAGGGGCAACCGGAAUUCCCAGUGUAGCGGUGAAAUGCGUAGAUAUUGGGAAGAACACCUGAGGCGAAGGCGGGUUGCUGGGCUGAUACUGACGCUGAGGAGCGAAAGCGUGGGGAGCGAACAGG
rnacentral:rRNA from 1 species